GAUUGUUUUAAUGGGGCUGUGGCGGAGGUAACGAGCACAAAGAUAUCGUGCUGCCAGGAAAAAGCAGGCUCUCUCUUCGCCUAGCCUCGCAUUACAUGAUGUAACAUUUAGCUUCUGGCUCAACGUGGCAUCUCUUCCCUGCUCUGAUUUAUUUCCACUUUUGCAAAUCACAGAGGUAUGUUACAGGAGAUGCAUUUAGAGCUGUUGUUAUAUUCAUUGAGGAGCGAGGCUGUUAUCCCCACCAGAGGAAAAUCUCACACGUCUCAGGAUCAGAAUGGAAAAUAGAGCCACUGGGCUCCUUGCCUGGCUGGGAGUGCUGCUGAGUACACAGCCGCUACGAUAAUGCUCUGGACCAGAGAAGAGUCUGCAUGACAGGUGUGGUGCUCGACUCAGAAACACAGCUAUGAAGACACUGGCAGGCAAGCUGUGCUGUGGCGGAGUGAGGGAUGAAGGAGGAAGGCUUCUUCCCCAUGAAGGGGUGGCAGUGAGAGGGCGCCCUUGGAAGUGCUUGGCCUCCUCACUAGCUCUUCCCUAAGGGGGCACCGCUCCAUCUUAUUGGCCAGUUUGGGAGCAAGCACAGGGCCGCUGCCGGUAUUCCUCAGCCUCUGCCUGUACAGCACACGUGAUGAGCUGGGCUCUCCACAUGCCACAGCUUGAUGGUGAAGGCUCGAUGCCUUCUAGGCAGCCUACUGUGGUCUGGGGGAUAAGUUUAUACGAUUCUGAGAUUCAAGAUGGAAGCCCACAUCACCACUCCUAA